rnacentral:rRNA from 1 species
AUUAGGAAUUUUGCGCAAUGGGCGAAAGCCUGACGCAGCGACGCCGCGUGACUGAUGAAGUCUUUCGGGAUGUAAAGGUCUUUUUUGGGGGAAGAAGGAUGUGACGGUACCCCAAGAAUAAGCCCCGGCUAACUACGUGCCAGCAGCCGCGGUAAUACGUAGGGGGCGAGCGUUGUCCGAAUUUACUGGGCGUAAAGCGCGCGUAGGCGGGUCAAUAAGUUGUGGGUGAAAUGCCGAGGCUCAACCUCGGCGCUGCCUGCAAGACUGUUGGUCUUGAGGUAUGGAGGGGAAAGCGGAAUUCCUGGUGUAGCGGUGAAAUGCGUAGAUAUCAGGAGGAACACCGAUGGCGAAGGCAGCUUUCUGGCCAUAUCCUGACGCUGAGGUGCGAAAGCCAGGGUAGCGAACGGGAUUAGAUACCCUAGUAGUCC